UACGUAGGGUCCGAGCGUUGUCCGGAUUUAUUGGGCGUAAAGAGCUCGUAGGCGGUUCCGUAAGUCAGAUGUGAAAACUCAGGGCUCAACCCGGAGACGCCAUCUGAUACUGCGGUGACUGGAGUCUGGUAGGGGAACACGGAAUUCCUGGUGUAGCGGUGAAAUGCGCAGAUAUCAGGAGGAACACCAAUGGCGAAGGCAGCACUCUGGGACGUGACUGACGCUGAGACGCGAAAGCGUGGGGAGCAAACAGG
rnacentral:rRNA from 1 species